rnacentral:rRNA from 1 species
AUGAACGCUGGCGGCGUGGAUAAGGCAUGCAAGUCGAAAGGGUUUAGACCCUUGGCAAACGGGUUCGGAACGCGUAGGAAUUUACCUCGAAGUCGCGAAUAACUCGGAGAAAUCCGUGACAAUACGCGAUGUGCUCUACGGAGCAAAGAUUUAUCGCUUCGAGAGAAGCCUGCGUCCUAUCAGCUUGUUGGUAAGGUAAUGGCUUACCAAGGCUAUGACGGGUAGGGGGUGUGAGAGCAUGACCCCCAACAUUGGCACUGAGACACUGGCCAAACACCUACGGGUGGCUGCAGUCGAGAAUAUUCCACAAUGGACGAAAGUCUGAUGGAGCGACGCCGCGUGCAGGAAGAAGGCCUUCGGGUUGUAAACUGCUUUUCUUAGGGAGCAAUUUCGAUGAGAGUACCUAAGGAAUAAGGGGUUACUAACUCUGU